rnacentral:rRNA from 1 species
CCUACGGGGAGCAGCAGUGAGGAAUAUUGGUCAAUGGCCGAGAGGCUGAACCAGCCAAGUCGCGUGAGGGAAGACGGCCCUACGGGUUGUAAACCUCUUUUGUCGGGGAGCAAAGCGAGUCACGUGUGACCCAUUGAGUGUACCCUCAGAAAAAGCAUCGGCUAACUCCGUGCCAGCAGCCGCGGUAAUACGGAGGAUGCGAGCGUUAUCCGGAUUUAUUGGGUUUAAAGGGUGCGCAGGGGGAGGGGCAAGGCAGCGGUAAAAUCGCGGGGCUCAACCCCGGACUGCCGUUGAACCUGGAUGCCUUGAGUGGGCGAGAAGUAUGCGGAAUGCGUGGUGUAGCGGUGAAAUGCAUAGAUAUCACGCAGAACUCCGAUUGCGAAGGCAGCAUGCCGGCGCGAAACUGACGCUCAGGCACGAAAGCGUGGGUAUCGAACAGGAUUAGAUACCCUAGUAGUC